UCUAUUCUUGGUUCUAGUUUGACGAGGGUUGUUCCAAUUCUGACUGAGCGAACUGGUCAAUGAGUCCUUUCACAUUUUCCCCUAAGUUAUUUUAUGUGCAUUACCUCCAUGAAAGUUGGAUAUCUUAUGAAUUUUAAUUUAAUGAGAAUGUGGUUUAAUCUUUAUUAAGGAAUAUUAAUGACAUCAUGACAGAUAUGUUGGUGAAAACCAAAAGAAGGGGAGAAGAAGCAAUCCCCAGCCUGGUAAGUUCAACCUUGGGAUCCACUGGAUUACAGAGCUUGAAAAGGCAUAAAACAGCAUUCUUACAACCGGGCAGAACUGAGGCUUUCAGAUCAUCGGGCUGUAAGCUCAGCCUUCUUAGUUGAGAUUGAAGUUUUAGACCCUCAGAAGCUCAAAAGGGCUCUCAAUAUCACUAGCGCGGCAGUACAUCCUGAGAUUUUCCUUGAUGGAGAGGGGGACUUUAGCAUAUUAGAGGGUUUGCACCUGUCACAACAUCAGCACGAUGUCAUGCACUACAGCCGGAUGUAGCUUUUGAUUAUUUUUUUUUUUGUACUUUUUUGUUAUCUGAACAGAUAAAAUUUUUGUAUUUUAAUUUGAAUUUGUACAAUGUAUUUAUAUUUGAGUUUGAAUUUGAAUUUGAUUUUUGAAUUUUUUUGAUUUAUUUUUGUUAUCCGAACAAAUGGAAUUUCUAUAUUUUAAUUGAAUUUGUAUAAUGUAUUUGUAUU